UUGAGCAGUCUUGUCUCAGUGUUUUCAGGGGUCCGUGGUAUCUAACUGGCUCAACGCUUGGACAAAGACAUCUUAUGGAUACAAAAGGAAUCAACCCCCUCGCGAUGCUUUCAGCAUCUCAUAUGCUUAUCCUGGGAGGAUUUGGGUCUCAGGAAGGACACAUGGUUGUCUGUCUGCUGCCAGCCCAGACGACAAGGACUGCCCAGUGGUCCCACGGCAUCAGAAGCUAAAUAAAAUGGUUAUUUUAAACCACUAAACUAGGAGAACAUAGAGUUGUUGCACAACAAACAAGAGCUUCUGAAACCGCUUGAUGUCCUAAGGUUAGCAUUCCCUCAAUCUGGACUUGGAACCCCUUCCUGUGGGAGGACUAGAUGAACAUGGAACUGAGCCUGGCAGACACUGCAAAUGAGGCCCCUGCCAGCCAGGGGAAGCAUUGAUAGGCACACUGAGGGUAUGCUGAAGAAGGCAGUGAGGUCCAGCUCCAGGAAGCUGCAGCAACAUUAGGCCACUGCAGCGGACCUCAUUUUCAGAAGGAUUUUAAGCCAAAGCCCAAGGUUUAUUAUAAAGGACUUACAAAGGACAAAGACGAAGAGACACAUAGGGCAAGGUACCAGGGAAGGGGCACAGAGCUUCCAUGCCCUCCCUGGGCGCAUCACUCUACAGGAACCUCCCUGUGUUCAGCUAUCCAGAAGCUCUCCAAACUCCAUCCUCUUGGGCUUUAAUGGAAGCUUCGCAAGCCCUCAAGAUACAUGAAGCUGUGGGCCCUCAGAAACAUCUGGCUCAGCAGAAAUGACUGCAGGGUCUGCCUCUGAAGCCCAGCGUUUCUACUCCAUUUGGGAUAUUCCACACAGGAAGAGAAUUGGAAAUGCUGGAGGUAAGAGCUUUGGCAAUCGCUCUCCAAAAACCCUUGGAAACUCAAGUCAGCUUUGGCUGGGGAAGGGUACACAUUAGCUAUCUCUUCCAUACCCACCCAGUCCUUCCUGUUUCUGUUCAUUCUUCUUAUUCUUUCUAAUCCACACCUGCUCCCUCAGUCACACUUUCAGCCUCUGCCCUCUCCUGCUGACAGAGGGCUGUGAUCUCCCCUCCUCCCCAGGCUCCCCACGUCAGGCCGUCCUCCAGGAGUGGCUAUCCAUCUCUAAGGGCUUUCCGGACUGCUGCCCAGCAACUUCAACAGGCACCUCUAAUCGACGACCUCUCCUGCCUCCGCUGGUGUAGGGACGCCAGGCUUCUGAACAGCACUGCUCUCCUCAUUUGCCUUCAAGCUGGCCUAUCUUUCCUGCUGGUGGUGGUGGGCAGAGGCAAGGGUGUGGUCAGCUUUGAAAGAGAUUCCAUUCUUGGAAUAAAGUGAUCUAGCAAACAAAGUCUUCAAAAAAAAAAUACAUGAGGGGAAAAACAAUAAGCUGAACAUGAGCAGAAAACACAUUUUCUUGCAUUUGUGGUCAUCUUCUAUGAAGCACAGUAAGAAUCUUUGGAAGCCAGUCUUCAGGGCAAAAGGAUGGAGGAUGCAGCAUCAUGAGUAUCCAGAGAGUCAGGAUGAAGUUGUUCUUGGGAACUGCAGAGACAAGCAGUUCUAUAUGGUUUCAACACAAAUGGGCUAGGAAGAACCCUGGCACCGUGAGCAAUAAUAGUGUCACUACCUUUUUCUAGAGGUGGGAGACAAAAACUUAGCCAGACACAUUCAACAGUAAGACUCAACAAAGAAUCUUCAUAUUCAUGGACAGAAACUAAAUCUGCCACAUUUCUAGUAAGGUUCUUUCUUGGUUAAUUAAAUGUAUUAAUCUCUUCCAA